rnacentral:misc_RNA from 1 species
GUGGGAGCUGGCUUGCCUGCGAUGACGGUGGGUCAGUUGGCUCAUGUGUCACUGAUACACCGCUAUCGCAGGCAAGCCAGCUCCCAC